GGAUUAGAUACCCUGGUAGUCCACGCCGUAAACGAUGGGUACUAGACGUAGGGGGAGUCAAUCCCUUUGUGUCGCAGCUAACGCAAUCAGUACCCCGCCUGGGGAGUACGGCCGCAAGGUUAAAACUCAAAGGAAUUGACGGGGGCCCGCACAAGCGGUGGAGCAUGUGGUUCAAUUCGAUGCAACGCGAAAAACCUUACCUGCCCUUGACAUCCUCGGAACUUGGCAGAGAUGCCUUGGUGCCUUCGGGAACCGAGUGACAGGUGCUGCAUGGCUGUCGUCAGCUCGUGCCG
rnacentral:rRNA from 1 species